GGAGGAGUGGCCGAGUGGUCGAAGGCAGCGGUUUUGAAAACCGCCGUACCCGGAAGGGUACCAGGGGUUCGAAUCCCUUCUCCUCCG
rnacentral:tRNA from 7 species